AUUGAACGCUGGCGGCAGGCCUAACACAUGCAAGUCGAGCGGAGCGGCGGACGGGUGAGUAAUGCCUAGGAAUCUGCCUGGUAGUGGGGGAUAACGUCCGGAAACGGGCGAUAAUACCGCAUACUAUCAGAUGAGCCUAGGUCGGAUUAGCUAGUUGGUGGGGUAAAGGCCUACCAAGGCGACGAGCCGUAACUGGUGUGAGAGGAUGAUCAGUCACACUGGAACGUAGACACGGUCCAGCAUCCUACGUGAGGCAGCAGUGGGGAAUAUUGGACAAUGGGCGAAAGCCGGAGCCAGCCAUGCCGCGUGUGUGAAGAAGGUCUUCGGAGUGUAAAGCACUUUAAGUUGGCAGGCGUUACCAACAGAAUAAGCACCGGCUAACUUCGUGCCAGCAGCCGCGGUAAUUC
rnacentral:rRNA from 1 species